UACGUAGGGUGCAAGCGUUAAUCGGAAUUACUGGGCGUAAAGCGUGCGCAGGCGGUUGUGCAAGACCGAUGUGAAAUCCCCGGGCUCAACCUGGGAAUGGCAUUGGUGACUGCACGGCUAGAGUGUGUCAGAGGGGGGUAGAAUUCCACGUGUGAGCAGUGAAAUGCGUAGAGAUGUGGAGGAAUACCGAUGGCGAAGGCAGCCCCCUGGGAUAACACUGACGCUCAUGCACGAAAGCGUGGGGAGCAAACAGG
rnacentral:rRNA from 1 species